rnacentral:misc_RNA from 1 species
AGAAAAAUGCUGGAAUGGGUAAAAUAGUGUCAUUUUAGGACGCUAAUCAACUUUUUGGCAGUUGCAACUCUGUGAUUAAGGUGGCGAAACCAAUUGUAUCUCAAUUACCAUAUCAAUAGGCUAUUUGGGUAUGGAUUCAGCUACCUUAUUUAUGGGAUAGAUCCAGCUUCUUACACUCUAAACACACUUGCUACACAAAGAGACACAUAAAUUGAACAAUGAGAUAAACUCUUCAGCACGGCAAGGCUUUUCUAAGCAUCAAAUGGCAAAUACCAACUUAUUUCUGUUGAAAUCCCUCCUCCUCCACUGCUUCUUCUUAAAGAACAAGAGAUCUCAAUAGAAAUAUGUAGGUAUUGGUUAUUUGAUCCUUAGAAAAACCCUGCUUCUUCUUCUUUGU